rnacentral:tRNA from 1 species
CAUCUGAUGGCUGAAAUAAAGUGCUGGUCUUUUAAACCUGUUAUAGUAAAUGCUUACUUCCGAUG